CCUACGGGUGGCAGCAGUGGGGAAUAUUGGGCAAUGGGCGCAAGCCUGACCCAGCAACGCCGCGUGAAGGAAGACGGCUUUCGGGUUGUAAACUUCUUUUAAGAGGGAAGUGCAGUAGACGGUACCUCUUGAAUAAGCCACGGCUAACUACGUGCCAGCAGCCGCGGUAAUACGUAGGGGGCAAGCGUUAUCCGGAUUUACUGGGUGUAAAGGGAGCGUAGAGGGUUAUGUAAGUCUGGAGUGAAAGCCCGGGGCUCAACCCCGGGACUGCAUUGGAAACUGUGUGACUGGAGUACAGGAGGGGCAGGCGGAAUUCGUGGUGUAGCGGUGAAAUGCGUAGAUAUCAGGAAGAACACCGGCGGCGAAGGCAGCCUGCUGAACUGAAACUGACGUUGAGGCUCGAAAGCGUGGGGAGCAAACAGGAUUAGAUACCCGAGUAGUC
rnacentral:rRNA from 1 species